rnacentral:piRNA from 1 species
UUUAAGACCAAUGGACCAGGAGCAGA